AUGGAGUCCUACGUCCUAUUUCUCACUGUCUUCUCAAUGCUUCUUUAUGGGGUUCCUGCUGAAAUUCGGCUGACCGAGUCUGGUGGAGGAGUGCUGAAGCCUGGAGAAUCCCUGCAACUGACCUGUAGGGUCUCUGGUCACACCAUCACAUCGGAUAAUAGGGAUUGGAGCUGGAUCCGACAGGCCCCCAACAAAGGACUGGAAUGGAUAGGAAGGGGAUACUACUAUAAUUCAAAAUGGAACACCAACUAUGCCGCAGCCUUCCAGAGCAGGGUCUCCAUCUCGCUUGAUUCUUCCAAGAACGAAUACGAUCUCCGGUUGAGCUCCCUGACAGCUGCCGACACGGCCACAUAUUACUGUGCCAGAGAGACACAGUGA